rnacentral:rRNA from 1 species
UACGUAGGGGGCUAGCGUUGUCCGGAAUCAUUGGGCGUAAAGCGCGCGUAGGCGGCCAGAUAAGUCCGGUGUGAAAGUCACAGGCUCAACCUGUGAAUGCCGCUGGAAACUGUCUGGCUUGAGUCCGGAAGGGGCGAGUGGAAUUCCUGGUGUAGCGGUGAAAUGCGCAGAUAUCAGGAGGAACACCAAUGGCGAAGGCAGCUCGCUGGAACGGGACUGACGCUGAGGCGCGAAAGCGUGGGGAGCGAACAGG